GGAAAAGAAACUAACUAGGAUUCCCUUAGUAACGGCGAGUGAACCGGGAUGAGCUCAAAUUUAAAAUCUGGCGUCUUUCAGGCGUCCGAGUUGUAAUCUAUAGAGGCGUUUUCCGCGCCGGACCGCGUCCAAGUCUCUUGGAAUAGAGUAUCAAAGAGGGUGACAAUCCCGUACUUGACGCGACAACCGGUGCUCUGUGAUACGUUCUCAAUGAGUCGAGUUGUUUGGGAAUGCAGCUCUAAAUGGGUGGUAAAUUCCAUCUAAGGCUAAAUAUUGGCGAGAGACCGAUAGCGAACAAGUACCGUGAGGGAAAGAUGAAAAGCACUUUGGAAAGAGAGUUAAACAGCACGUGAAAUUGUUAAAAGGGAAACGAUUGAAGUCAGUCGUGUGAAAGGUAUUCAGCCGUCUCUGGCGGUGUAUUUGCCUUUCACGGGUCAACAUCAGUUUGAUCCGGUAGAAAAAGGCGGGAGGAAGGUGGCACCCUCGGGUGUGUUAUAGCCUCCUGUCAUAUGUGCCGGACCAGACUGAGGAACGCAGCUUGCCGCAAGGCCGGGGUUCGCCCACGUACAAGCUUAGG
rnacentral:rRNA from 1 species